GUCGCGCUUAUGAAAAUGGCUAGCUAUCGGAGAGGUAGAAAUGAGAAAGCCAGGGUUCAGCUUGACACAAAUUUAUUUAUAGGUCAACGUGGGUUAGGCCUACACUACACGAUCAGUCAGUUUUCAGUUGGCACGGAUAGGGACUCCCCUGAGUCGAAGAGUAUCGGCGUGGAAUCCCGAUAACGCGACCGGCGUGGAAGUCCUCUUCUCCAGUGCCCAGGUAGGUAGGCAGGUCACGUGGCCGUAGCGUGCGCGUGGCGUGUAGCUCGGCUGCGCGGCGUGGUCAGCAACACGAAGGCAGGGGGUUGCCGAACCAGCACGUAGAGGGCGAGCCGUAGAAGUAGGUAGUUCCGUGCAGUAGGUAAACCGUACCGUGGAGUAGUAGCGUGGACCUUGGAGUAGUAGCGUGGACCUUGGACCCUGGAAAAGAUGGAAAUCCAACGCAUCAGUACACCGUUAUCGUCUAGGUUCCACAUACCGUCAUCAAGACCUACAGCAGAGUACCUAAUCUAGCUUGAUUGAGGCGGCAGUGGAAACCAGAACGGAAUACCUAACAUAAAUUAAAGAUAA